rnacentral:rRNA from 1 species
UACGGGGGGAGCAAGCGUUGUUCGGAUUUACUGGGCGUAAAGGGCGCGUAGGCGGCGUGGUAAGUCACUUGUGAAAUCUCCGGGCUUAACCCGGAAAGGUCAAGUGAUACUGCUGUGCUAGAGUGCGGAAGGGGCAACUGGAAUUCUCGGUGUAGCGGUGAAAUGCGUAGAUAUCGAGAGGAACACCUGCGGCGAAGGCGGGUUGCUGGGCCGACACUGACGCUGAAGUGCGAAAGCUAGGGGAGCAAACGGG